GAUCAACGCUGGCGGCGUGCCUAAUGCAUGCAAGUCGGACGCGGCCUCCUUCGGGGGGUUGGCGUGGCGGACGGGUGAGGAGCACGUGGGGAACCUGCCCUGGGGUGGGGGGUAGCCCUCGGAACGGGGGGUAAUUCCGCAUGCACUCAACGGGCGGUAGGCGCGUUGAGGAAAGCCGGGCAACCGGUGCCCUGGGAUGGUCCUGCGUCCGAUUAGCUGGUUGGUGGGGUAACGCCUACCAAGGCGGUGAUCGGUCGCUGGUCUGAGAGGACGGCCAGCCACACGGGGACUGAGACACGGCCCCGACUCC
rnacentral:rRNA from 1 species